rnacentral:rRNA from 1 species
GACGAACGCUGGCGGCGUGCUUAACACAUGCAAGUCGAACGAAGAGCGACGGAAGCUUGCUUCUAUCAAUCUUAGUGGCGAACGGGUGAGUAACGCGUAAUCAACCUGCCCUUCAGAGGGGGACAACAGUUGGAAACGACUGCUAAUACCGCAUACGAUCUAAUCUCGGCAUCGAGGAUGGAUGAAAGGUGGCCUCUACAUGUAAGCUAUCACUGAAGGAGGGGAUUGCGUCUGAUUAGCUAGUUGGAGGGGUAACGGCCCACCAAGGCGAUGAUCAGUAGCCGGUCCGAGAGGAUGAACGGCCACAUUGGGACUGAGACACGGCCCAGACUCCUACGGGAGGCAGCAGUGGGGAAUCUUCCGCAAUGGACGAAAGUCUGACGGAGCAACGCCGCGUGAGUGAUGACGGCCUUCGGGUUGUAAAGCUCUGUUAAUCGGGACGAAAGGCCUUCUUGCGAAUAGUGAGAAGGAUUGACGGUACCGGAAUAGAAAGCCACGGCUAACUACGUG